rfam:Triticum urartu cultivar G1812 contig382255, whole genome shotgun sequence.
UAACUACUCCAUCCAUUCCGAAUUACUUGUCGCAGGUAUGGAUGUAUCUAGAUGUAUUUUAGUUCUAGAUACAUCCAUUUCUGUGAUGAGUAAUUUGGAACGGAGGGAGUAUAAG